UUUAUGGAGAGUUUGAUCCUGGCUCAGGAUGAACGCUGGCGGCGUGCCUAAUACAUGCAAGUCGAGCGAACGGACGAGAAGCUUGCUUCUCUGAUGUUAGCGGCGGACGGGUGAGUAACACGUGGAUAACCUACCUAUAAGACUGGGAUAACUUCGGGAAACCGGAGCUAAUACCGGAUAAUAUUUUGAACCGCAUGGUUCAAAAGUGAAAGACGGUCUUGCUGUCACUUAUAGAUGGAUCCGCGCUGCAUUAGCUAGUUGGUAAGGUAACGGCUUACCAAGGCAACGAUGCAUAGCCGACCUGAGAGGGUGAUCGGCCACACUGGAACUGAGACACGGUCCAGACUCCUACGGGAGGCAGCAGUAGGGAAUCUUCCGCAAUGGGCGAAAGCCUGACGGAGCAACGCCGCGUGAGUGAUGAAGGUCUUCGGACCGUAAAACUCUGUUAUUAGGGAAGAACAUAUGUGUAAGUAACUGUGCACAUCUUGACGGUACCUAAUCAGAAAGCCACGGCUAACUACGUGCCAGCAGCCGCGGUAAUACGUAGGUGGCAAGCGUUAUCCGGAAUUAUUGGGCGUAAAGCGCGCGUAGGCGGUUUUUUAAGUCUGAUGUGAAAGCCCACGGCUCAACCGUGGAGGGUCAUUGGAAACUGGAAAACUUGAGUGCAGAAGAGGAAAGUGGAAUUCCAUGUGUAGCGGUGAAAUGCGCAGAGAUAUGGAGGAACACCAGUGGCGAAGGCGACUUUCUGGUCUGUAACUGACGCUGAUGUGCGAAAGCGUGGGGAUCAAACAGGAUUAGAUACCCUGGUAGUCCACGCCGUAAACGAUGAGUGCUAAGUGUUAGGGGGUUUCCGCCCCUUAGUGCUGCAGCUAACGCAUUAAGCACUCCGCCUGGGGAGUACGACCGCAAGGUUGAAACUCAAAGGAAUUGACGGGGACCCGCACAAGCGGUGGAGCAUGUGGUUUAAUUCGAAGCAACGCGAAGAACCUUACCAAAUCUUGACAUCCUUUGACAACUCUAGAGAUAGAGCCUUCCCCUUCGGGGGACAAAGUGACAGGUGGUGCAUGGUUGUCGUCAGCUCGUGUCGUGAGAUGUUGGGUUAAGUCCCGCAACGAGCGCAACCCUUAAGCUUAGUUGCCAUCAUUAAGUUGGGCACUCUAAGUUGACUGCCGGUGACAAACCGGAGGAAGGUGGGGAUGACGUCAAAUCAUCAUGCCCCUUAUGAUUUGGGCUACACACGUGCUACAAUGGACAAUACAAAGGGCAGCGAAACCGCGAGGUCAAGCAAAUCCCAUAAAGUUGUUCUCAGUUCGGAUUGUAGUCUGCAACUCGACUACAUGAAGCUGGAAUCGCUAGUAAUCGUAGAUCAGCAUGCUACGGUGAAUACGUUCCCGGGUCUUGUACACACCGCCCGUCACACCACGAGAGUUUGUAACACCCGAAGCCGGUGGAGUAACCUUUUAGGAGCUAGCCGUCGAAGGUGGGACAAAUGAUUGGGGUGAAGUCGUAACAAGGUAGCCGUAUCGGAAGGUGCGGCUGGAUCACCUCCUUUCU
rnacentral:rRNA from 1 species